rnacentral:ncRNA from 2 species
CGCUACGCUGCGGGAGAGCGCCGACGGCAGAGAUGCCGGCGGCCGCCGAAGGAGCAACACCUCUCCGUCAAACUCUCAGGCACCCAGGACCGCGGUGGUGAC